rnacentral:tRNA from 1 species
GCUGCUGUAGCUCAGUGGUAGAGCGCGUCCUUGGUAAGGACGAAGUCAUGGGUUCGACUCCCAUCAGCAGCC